UACGGAGGGGGCUAGCGUUGUUCGGAAUUACUGGGCGUAAAGCGCACGUAGGCGGCUUUGUAAGUUAGAGGUGAAAGCCCGGGGCUCAACUCCGGAAUUGCCUUUAAGACAGCAUCGCUAGAAUUGUGGAGAGGUAAGUGGAAUUCCGAGUGUAGAGGUGAAAUUCGUAGAUAUUCGGAAGAACACCAGUGGCGAAGGCGACUUACUGGACACAUAUUGACGCUGAGGUGCGAAAGCGUGGGGAGCAAACAGG
rnacentral:rRNA from 1 species